AUACGGAGGGUGCAAGCGUUACUCGGAAUUACUGGGCGUAAAGGACGCGUAGGCGGUUUAGAAAGUCAGAUGUGAAAGCCUAUGGCUUAACCAUAGAACUGCACCUGAAACUCCUAGACUAGAGUGAGGGAGAGGUCAGUGGAAUUAGUGGUGUAGGGGUAAAAUCCGUAGAGAUCACUAGGAAUACUCAUAGCGAAGGCGACUGACUGGAACUUUACUGACGCUGAGGCGUGAAAGCGUGGGGAGCAAACAGGAUUAGAAACCCCAGUAGUCC
rnacentral:rRNA from 1 species